rnacentral:rRNA from 1 species
GAAAUCUGGCGGUCUCAGGCCGUCCGAGUUGUAAUCUAGAGAGGUGUUUUCCGUGCCGGACCGUGUACAAGUCCCUUGGAACAGGGCGUCAUAGAGGGUGAGAAUCCCGUCCAUGACACGGACUACCGGUGCUCUGUGAUACACCUUCAAAGAGUCGAGUUGUUUGGGAAUGCAGCUCAAAAUGGGUGGUAAAUUCCAUCUAAAGCUAAAUACAGGCGAGAGACCGAUAGCGAACAAGUACCGUGAGGGAAAGAUGAAAAGAACUUUGGAAAGAGAGUUAAACAGUACGUGAAAUUGUUGAAAGGGAAACGCUUGAAGUCAGUCGCGUCUGCCAGGACUCAGCCUUGCUUCUGCUUGGUGCACUUCUUGGUGGAUGGGCCAGCAUCGAUUUUGAUUGCCGGAAAAGGGUGGGAGGAAUGUGGCAGCUUUUGCUGUGUUAUAGCCUUCUGUCGUACACGGUGGUUGGGAUCGAGGACUGCAGCACGCCUUUGGUCGGGGUUCGCCCACGCCACGUGCUUAGGAUGCUGGCGUAAUGGCUUUAAACGACCCGUCUUGAAACACGGACCAAGGAGUCUAACAUGCCUGCGAGUGUUUGGGUGCAAAACCCAGGCGCGUAAUGAAAGUGAAAAGUUGGGACUCUUUAGUGAGGCACCGACGCCCGACCCUGAAGUCUUCUGACGGGUUUGAGGCAGAGCAUGUAUGUUGGGACCCGAAAGAUGGUGAACUAUGCCUGAAUAGGGUGAAGCCAGAGGAAACUCUGGUGGAGGCUCGUAGCGAUUCUGACGUGCAAAUCGAUCGUCAAAUUUGGGUAUAGGGGCGAAAGACUAAUCGAACCAUCUAGUAGCUGGUUCCUGCCGAAGUUUCCCUCAGGAUAGCAGAAACUCGCAUCAGUUUUAUGUGGUAAAGCGAAUGAUUAGAGGCCUUGGGGUUGAAACAACCUUAACCUAUUCUCAAACUUUAAAUAUGUAAGAUCGGACCGUCACUUGAUUGGACCGUCUGGCGAAUGAGAGUUUCUAGUGGGCCAUUUUUGGUAAGCAGAACUGGCGAUGCGGGAUGAACCGAU